UGGCGCACUCCGGCAAAACGAUGAGGUGCGGUCAGCGUCGCGCCAUACUUACCGCAUACAGGAGGUUCACCGCAGGAUCACGAUCUCUGCCCUGCAGAAAGCAUUACUGCAGCUCGCAGUCUCCGCGUGUGUGCCUCACAAUCAUCACUGCAAACGGCCAUCAGCAAGAACGCGAAAUUCCGGUAGGUAUUUGAAGGGACACUAAAGAGAAAAACGAUUUUUCACAUAUUAGUAAAUUACUGUUUCAAAAUUCCAAAAUCACCACGCUUGCCGCGAGAAGACGCUUAGUAAGCGAGAAAACACGCAAAAAAAAUUGUUCGUGGCGACGCCACUUCGAAAUUCCCGCACCAAACGCCGUGACGUCAUAGAUUUUGACAGCGUCUACUAGGCCCUGCUCAGUUCCCAAACGGUAAAUAUGAAGUACAUUGUCCUCUGAGGGGGCCUGAGACAGCAUACCAAGUUUCAGGAAAUUUCAUCGAGCCAAUGUCGCCAAAAUACGAAAAACACGCUUUGAAAUCCGUGACGCCACGCGCGGAGAUUUAGGCGCGAAAUACGUAUAAAAAUGAAACUUUGACCUUGAGUUUCUCUUCAGUUGUCAAACCUGUGAAAUUAACGACAUCAGAGUUUUCAGAGUACAAUUAUUCAAUCUAAACCGGUUCAUUGUUUCACUUUAGUGUCCCUUUAAGUGUUUUCUGAGACAAAUAAAGAAUUUAUUACUUGAAA
rnacentral:lncRNA from 1 species